AUGUGCAUUUCCUGGAAUUCCUGGCCCGCCCUGGGGACAAGCCCGACUUCCCCGGGCCGUGGCCUGCCCGAAAUCGCCGGCCCGGGGACGCAGGGCUGGAGCCACCUGUGGGCUCAGGCUCCAGCCGCCUGGCCGGCUCUGCCUCCCGCCUGGCCCCUCGAGCAGCAUUCAAGCUACCGCCUGGGCGCCUGCAGCGUGCCGGGCCGAGCUGGAAGCCGGGAACGAGAGAGCACAAGCAGGGGGAGUGACAGGCAGAGGGAGAGGAAGAAGCAGGCUCCCUGCCCAGCAGAGAACCUGGUGUGGGGCUCGAUCCCAGGACCCUGGGUUCACAACCCAAGCUUAAGGCAGACACUCAACUGACUGAGCCACCCAGGCGCCCUGAGAACCCAUAGUUCUUAAAGUCACUCCAGUCUUGCUGAGCCCAGCCUUUCCACCCCUCCCACCAAGAAAUUCCACACAUUUGUGAAGCCAUGUUGGACCCUCGAGAUCAGAACAGUUGCCGACUGAAUAUGGGACUUCAGUCAUGCCAUGUGGAACAGAAGAACUACCCACCUGACCCCAACCCAAGUUCCUGACCUACAGAAUUGGGUUAUUUAAUAAAAUUGUUACCUGGAGCCACUAGGUCUUGGGAGCAGAUCGUUAUGCAGAAUGCAGCAGGAAUGCUGGUGCCUACCCACCCCAGACCCCUCAGUCUCUGCACCUAAGUUUACUCCAUCCUGACACCUGGAAAAGCCUUUUCCCAGAUCCUGGACUAUCAAAAUGCUGCCUUCCAAGCAACUCAAAGACAAAGAGAAACAAUCAGGCUGUGUGCUGCAUAUCUUCUGUUUGCCCCUCCAAAUGCACCCCCUACCCUUCUCCACAUUGCUGUGUGCCAGGCAGCCUGACCACUAUGGAAACACCAGCAGGCUCUCUUGCCCUCUGGCUUCUGGUUGGGUUUGGCCAAUAGGAGGCACCAGCAGGAGAUCAGAAAGUGGGAGGAGGGGGAAGUCAGGAUGUUUACUCCUCUCCCCCUUCCGCCUUGUACAGUCAGCCACCAGGUGAGCUGUGUCUCUCCACCAAGGCCCCAGCUCCUGGCAGGUGGUCUUGUCCAUAUCCUACCAGUCCCUCCUGCCCAUCUUCAAAAGCAAGGAUUCCUUUUGUUACUAGCCUCAGGCUACUGUACCACCCCUUAUUGCUCUCCAUAAACUCUGCUCUGGAUUAGGGUUCUCCCAGAAGUAGAGCCUGAGGCAAAGAUUCGAGUACAAGUAGUUCAUUUGGGAAGAGAUCCCGGGAAACACUGGAAGGGCAGUGCCGAGUCAGACAGGAAGUGAGCCAAUGCCAGCAGGCUACCUAGAGCUCAGUCCUUCAGCAGAGCUCUGUGAGACAGCGUAGAAUGUCUCUCAGAGUUAACCCAGCUGAGGAGUGAGGAAGCUGGGAGGUUUAUCUACCAACUGCCCUUUGACUUUGUUGGAGGGCUGUUUCCAGGACAUCAACUUCCUGGCACUCUGGGCUGGCUCAACACCCUGGCCAGACUUGCUCCCCUACAGCAGAGAGCGGGAGCCUGACUCCGGUAUUAGCAGGAAAGCACCAUGCAGAGGUGAGGCUGAGGGCAUGUGGGCUGGGCACUGAAGGCUUCACCGACCCGCGGCUUCAUAAAUCAUUUGGUUUUUUGGUCAGCUUUAUUGAGGUAUGACUGACAAAUUGUAAGAUACUGAAAGUGUACAAUGUGAUGAUUUGAUGGACGUAUACGUGUGAAAUGAUUUCCCCCCAUCAAGUUAAUUUACACACUCAUCACAUAUUUACCUCUUUUUUUUUUUUUUGUGAGGACAUUUUUGUUUUACUCUCUUAGCACAUUUCAACAUCUCAGUUAUGCAAUAGUGUUAUCAACCAUAACCAUCCUGUUAUACAUUAGAUCCUCAGACCUUAUUCAUCUUAUAACUGAAUGAAUAUAAUUCCUUUAUUAAACUCCCCUCAAUUAUU